AUUUUAUCAGAUAACGCAAUAAGCUAGCAAAAAAAAAGGCUAUAUGUUGGUGGGAAAUUUUUUAUAGAAAUAACUUGCAACAUAAGCACUUAUUUGAAUAACACUUAUGAAGUUAUGCUGUGUGGAUCUUGUAGUUCAUGCCGCUGGUCCUUUUCAACAGACAGAAAAAUGUAGCGUUCUUGAAGCUGCCAUUAAUACCAAGAUGGGGUCAAGUUUUUAUACUGGAUGCUCUCUCUAGAAUAGAUACAAGGCUGCUGAUGCACGUGAGGCAGAAAACAUCGUAGAAACUGGAAAGAGUUACCCCACGGUUACAACAUGCCAAUUGUGCAGUUGUACUAUCUGCUGUUAAGAUGAUCCUUCAGCAAAUGGAGCUCAUCACCAGUACUGAUGUGGUCUGGAAUCUUUGCAAAAAGAUGGCUCCUCCUCUUGUGACAUUACUCUCUCGGAAGAACCUGAGAUACAAUAUGUUGUAAUGUUUCCCUGCGAAAUAUCAAUCUUAUUGUACAAAGAAGACCGACAAUUUUCGCACAUGAAAUUAAGUAGGUGUUCUUCUGCAAAUACAAUGACCCUAUAUAUGUAUGUGAAAAUGGAGAAAUUAGUAAUCAUGAUAAAGCUUGCUUCAGACCGAAAUAUAGACCAGAUAUGAGUCCAUAAUUGCAACUCUUUAUGAGAGCUUAGACACCUUGGAUGAGCCCGAAGCCAAGGCAUCAAUGAUCUGGAUAAUUGGUGAAUAUGCUGAAAGAAUUGACAAUGCUGACGAGCUUCUUGAAAGUUUCUUGGAAAGUUUCCCCGAAGAACCUGCACUAGUCCAACUGCAAUUGCUGACAGCUACCGUCAAACUCUUCCUUAAGAAGCCAACUGAGGGCCCACAGCAGAUGAUUCAGGUUCCACAAUUGCAACCUGGAACAUCAACUAGGGCACUCCUUCCUAUAUGAUUAUGUUCCAGAACAUGUCUCAAGGUCCUCCUAGCUCAUUUUUGCAAGUUGCCUUAAAACACAACCAGCAGCCUGUGUGGUAUUUCAACGAUAAAAUCUUAUUACAUGUAUUUUUUACCGGGGAUGGUAGAAUGGAACGUGCCACUUUCCUCGAGGUCCCUUCCGGAUUCAAAUGAAGUUUCCAAGGACUUCCCCUUCCCCGCUAUCCUGAUUGGUGGUGUGGAUGCAACAGUGGAACGACUGGAUUCAUCAAACAUAUUCUUUAUUGCAAAGCGCAAGAAUGCGAACCAG